GGUAGUAUAGCCGAGUAGGCAGCGGAUUGUAGCCCCGAAGACGAAGGUUCGAGUCCUUCUUCUGCCA
rnacentral:tRNA from 1 species